GCAGGCGGCUGGAUGAUCGCUGCCGCCUUCACUGCGAGGCUUAGGCCGCAAGGUGUUGGGCGGGGGAGGAAAGUCCGAACUCCGCAGGGCAGUGUGCCGGAUAACGUCCGGGACGGUCGCUUCAAGGCGGCUGGACGGCAAGUGCAACAGAGAAUGAACCGCCCCAGGGAUUGAUUUGCUUCGGCGAAUCUGCACGAUCCUGAGGUAAGGGUGAAAAGGUGCGGUAAGAGCGCACCGCGUGGACAGUAAUGGCCACGGCAGGGUAAACCCCACACGGAGCAAGACCAAAUAGGCAGGGAUUGGGCCGCUUCUCUCCAGGCGGCUCUCGAGCGUACCGGCCCGGUGCGCCCAGGCGGAGAGACCGGCGGAGAACGAAAGUUCAAGGUUGGAGCCGAAACCUGCGGGUAGGUUGCUAAAGCGCCGCAGUAAUGCGUCGCGUAGAGGAAUGAUCGUCUAAAACAGAAUUCGGCUUACGGGCCGUCUGCAAAC
rnacentral:RNase_P_RNA from 1 species